UACAGAGGGGGCAAGCGUUGUUCGGAAUUACUGGGCGUAAAGGGCGCGUAGGCGGCCUGUUAAGUCGAACGUGAAAUCCCCGGGCUCAACCCGGGAACUGCGUCCGAUACUGGCAGGCUUGAAUCCGGGAGAGGGAUGCGGAAUUCCAGGUGUAGCGGUGAAAUGCGUAGAUAUCUGGAGGAACACCGGUGGCGAAGGCGGCAUCCUGGACCGGGCAGUUGACGCUGAGGCGCGAAAGCCAGGGGAGCGAA
rnacentral:rRNA from 1 species